GAAAUGCGAUAAGUAAUGUGAAUUGCAGAAUUCAGUGAAUCAUCGAAUCUUUGAACGCACAUUGCGCCCCUUGGUAUUCGGGGGGCAUGCCUGUUCGAGCGUCAUUACAACCCUCAAGCUCUGCUUGGAAUUGGGCACCGUCCUCACUGCGGACGCGCCUCAAAGACCUCGGCGGUGGCUGUUCAGCCCUCAAGCGUAGUAGAAUACACCUCGCUUUGGAGCGGUUGGCGUCGCCCGCCGGACGAACCUUCUGAACUUUUCUCAAGGUUGACCUCGGAUCAGGUAGGGAUACCCGCUGAACUUAAGC
rnacentral:misc_RNA from 1 species